rnacentral:misc_RNA from 1 species
GAUGAAGAACGCAGCGAAAUGCGAUUAGUAAUGUGAAUUGCAGAAUUCAGUGAAUCAUCGAAUCUUUGAACGCACCUUGCGCCUUUUGGUAUUCCGAAAGGCACACCUGUUUGAGCGUCAUGAAUACCUCAAUCUCCAUCUUUUCUUCGGAUUGAUGGGUGACUUGGAUGUUGAGCCCUGCUGGUAUGCUAUAUCAGCUGGCUUUAAACUUAUUAGCCGGCUCUGUACUGGAUCGGUUUGACUCGACGUGAUAAUAUUAUCGUUGAGGAUGCAUGUCUCAUGCAGCCGGAAAGUAUCAAAGCAGCUUCUAGCUUGCCUUUAGUGCACUUUUACAUUUUAGACCUCAGAUCAGGUGGGACUACCCGCUGAACUUAAGCAUAUCAAUAAGCGGAGGA